rnacentral:lncRNA from 1 species
UAACUUUAUAGUUAUUUUUAUUUUUUUAAUAAUAUAUGAACUUGUUCAUAAAUUUAUUUAACGAAUUGGUUCACCAAUUUAUUUAAACAAUAUUACUCACGAGCCUAUUUAACGAGCCUGCUCGUGAGCCUUCUCAACGAGCCUGCUCGCGAGCCUUCUCAACGAGCCUGCUCGCGAUCCUUCUCAACGAGCCUGCUCGCGAGCCUUCUCAACGAGCCUGCUCGCGAGCCUUCUCAACAAUAUUACUCACGAGCCUAUUUAACGAGCCUGCUCGUGAGCCUUCUCAACGAGCCUGCUCGCGAGCCUUCUCAACGAGCCUGCUCGCGAGCCUUCUCAACGAGCCUGCUCGCGAGCCUUCUCAACGAGCCUGCUCGCGAGCCUUCUCAACGAGCCUGCUCGCGAGCCUAAAAACGAGCCAGCUCGCGAGCCUUAACGAGCCGAAUACUAUGGAGCUCAAGCUUAGCUCGUUUAAGUGACGAGCCUCAAAAUUGAGCUCGAACUUGGCUCGUUUAAAAAACGAGCCGAACUCGGUCGAGCUUUUAUCGAGUCGAGUCUCGAGUAGCUCACGAAUAGCUUGGCUCAUUUACAGCCCUAGGUA